rnacentral:lncRNA from 1 species
CAGCCCAGGUGGCAUCGGAGGCAGAGACUGGCAUUAGGCGGCUGUGGAAGGUCAGGGAUUGCCUGGCACCCCCAGAAGCUGUUAGAGAGGCUGGAAGUCCAAGUUCAAGGCGCUGGCAGAACGGAUGCUUCUGGCGGCGGACUCAUUGGUCACUCCUCUUCCAUGAAGAUGGUCCUGCCCUUUCUCUUCCCUCCAUCCCUGCUUCACCCAAGAUUCUGUGUACCUCCUUUCACUGGCCAACCUCCAGGACACGAGCUCCUGCAAAGCAGCGCUGGACUUUUGUUUCAGACUCUCAGGUCAAGCACGGGAAAUAUUUCUCAAUGAAUCAAUGAAUGAAAUGAGUCCAUGAGUGAAUGUCUGGGAAAGGGAACAAGUGACAGAGUCACCAGUCCCCUCAGCCCUAGCGUGAGGCUCCCCUACCCUCUAUGGCCACUCCUGCUUCC